AUACGGGGGUUGCAAGCGUUAUUCGGAUUUAUUGGGCGUAAAGAGCGCGUAGGCGGCUUGGUAAGCCAGAUGUGAAAGCCCGGGGCUCAACCCCGGAAGUGCAUUUGAAACUAUCAGGCUUGAGUAUGGGAGAGGGAAGUGGAAUUCCUGGUGUAGAGGUGAAAUUCGUAGAUAUCAGGAGGAACACCGGUGGCGAAGGCGACUUCCUGGACCAAUACUGACGCUGAGGCGCGAAGGCGUGGGGAGCAAACAGGAUUAGAUACCCCAGUAGUCC
rnacentral:rRNA from 1 species